GGGGAUAACUACUGGAAACGGUAGCUAAUACCGCAUAACGUCGUAAGACCAAAGAGGGGGACCUUCGGGCCUCUUGCCAUCGGAUGUGCCCAGAUGGGAUUAGCUUGUUGGUGGGGUAACGGCUCACCAAGGCGACGAUCCCUAGCUGGUCUGAGAGGAUGACCAGCCACACUGGAACUGAGACACGGUCCAGACUCCUACGGGAGGCAGCGGUGGGGAAUAUUGCACAAUGGGCGCAAGCCUGAUGCAGCCAUGCCGCGUGUAUGAAGAAGGCCUUCGGGUUGUAAAGUACUUUCAGCGGGGAGGAAGGGAGUAAAGUUAAUACCUUUGCUCAUUGACGUUACCCGCAGAAGAAGCACCGGCUAACUCCGUGCCAGCAGCCGCGGUAAUACGGAGGGUGCAAGCGUUAAUCGGAAUUACUGGGCGUAAAGCGCACGCAGGCGGUUUGUUAAGUCAGAUGUGAAAUCCCCGGGCUCAACCUGGGAACUGCAUCUGAUACUGGCAAGCUUGAGUCUCGUAGAGGGGGGUAGAAUUCCAGGUGUAGCGGUGAGAUGCGUAGAGAUCUGGAGGAAUACCGGUGGCGAAGGCGGCCCCCUGGACGAAGACUGACGCUCAGGUGCGAAAGCGUGGGGAGCAAACAGGAUUAGAUACCCU
rnacentral:rRNA from 1 species